rnacentral:misc_RNA from 1 species
UCUCCGUUGGUGAACCAGCGGAGGGAUCAUUACAGAGUUUAUUAUAACUCCUAAACCCAUGUGAACCUACCUUCUGUUGCCUCGGCAGGCAAGUCGUAUCUUGCUACCCUAUAGGACCCUAUCUUGUAAGACGUUACCUUAUAAGGUCCUAUCCGGUAGAGAGAUGCGGUACUACCUGCCGGUGGACUGAAAAAAAAAUUCUGUAUAAUAAAUGGUAUUCUGAAUCAUUAUAUGGAAAUUAAGUUAAAACUUUCAACAACGGAUCUCUUGGUUCUG